ACUCAAAGGAAUAGACGGGGGCCCGCACAAGCGGUGGAGCAUGUGGUUCAAUUCGACGCAACGCGAAGAACCUUACCAGCCCUUGACAUGUCUAGGACCGGUCGCAGAGACGCGACCUUCUCUUCGGAGCCUAGAACACAGGUGCUGCAUGGCUGUCGUCAGCUCGUGUCGUGAGAUGUUGGGUUAAGUCCCGCAACGAGCGCAACCCUCGUCCUUAGUUGCCAUCAUUAAGUUGGGCACUCUAAGGAGACUGCCGGUGAUAAGCCGCGAGGAAGGUGGGGAUGACGUCAAGUCCUCAUGGCCCUUACGGGCUGGGCUACACACGUGCUACAAUGGCGGUGACAAUGGGCAGCGAACCAGCAAUGGGGAGCUAAUCUCAAAAAGCCGUCUCAGUUCGGAUUGCACUCUGCAACUCGAGUGCAUGAAGUUGGAAUCGCUAGUAAUCGUGGAUCAGCAUGCCACGGUGAAUACGUUCCCGGGCCUUGUACACACCGCCCGU
rnacentral:rRNA from 1 species